rnacentral:rRNA from 1 species
UAGGGAAUCUUCGGCAAUGGACGGAAGUCUGACCGAGCAACGCCGCGUGAGUGAAGAAGGUUUUCGGAUCGUAAAGCUCUGUUGUAAGAGAAGAACGAGUGCGAGAGUGGAAAGUUCACACUGUGGCGGUAUCUUACCAGAAAGGGACGGCUAACUACGUGCCAGCAGCCGCGGUAAUACGUAGGUCCCGAGCGUUAUCCGGAUUUAUUGGGCGUAAAGCGAGCGCAGGCGGUUAGAUAAGUCUGAAGUUAAAGGCUGUGGCUUAACCAUAGUACGCUUUGGAAACUGUUUAACUUGAGUGCAAGAGGGGAGAGUGGAAUUCCAUGUGUAGCGGUGAAAUGCGUAGAUAUAUGGAGGAACACCGGUGGCGAAAGCGGCUCUCUGGCUUGUAACUGACGCUGAGGCUCGAAAGCGUGGGGAGCAAACAGGAUUAGAUACCCUGGUAGUCCACGCCGUAACGAUGAGUGCUAGGUGUUAGACCCUUUCCGGGGUUUAGUGCCGCAGCUAACGCAUUAAGCACUCCGCCUGGGGAGUACGACCGCAAGGUU